ACAGAUGAGGAACUGAGGCAAACAGGGUUAAGUGACUUGCCCAGCAUCGCAAAACUAGUAAGCGUCUGAGGCCAAAUUUGAAUUUAGGACAUCUUGCUUCUAGGCCCAGCACCUUAUCUAUUGCAUGUCCUAGCUGCUUCCACAAAAUACUACGUAAUUUUAGAAAUUGUGGAAGACAUCAUAGGAAAUCAAAUAUUUAACAUCAAUUGAUUAUCAGCCUUAAAAGUCAAGGGAAGAAAUUUAGGUUCAAUUUUUAUAUAUAGCAAACUCUUUUCAGGCAAAGUCUUAUUAAUCCCAAGUUAUCAUGAUUGAUUUUUGUGUUCAACUGUCAUUCUGGAAUAAAUUGCACCAAAAAUAUCUUUAAGGUGACAUUUUUAAAGUAGAAAAUGGAAAAAAAGACUCAAGAAGCAUAACUUUAUUAUAAACACAGACUGAAUGCUUUCAAAACUCUUAAGUGUUUAAUCAGAAUAUAUUACUUAUCUACCACCAUAAAAAUCCAUUUUCUCCUCCCCAAAAGUCAGAAAUAUCAAAAUUAAGGAGCACAAAGAUCUAAUAGAUUCUGUUGGUCUGAGAAUAUAUCACUAUGGAGAACACACAAAGUCACAUGCCCUACUCAGAACUCAUACAAAUUGCAAAGUUAAAUGUAUAGGAAAUACCAGCUGGGAGAAAGUUAAAAGAAGCGAAAACUCAUUUUGUUUCUGUCCUUAUUGAUCCUUCCAUCUGUCCUUUUCUUUCUCACAGACACAGUACACUUUGAGGAAUGGUUCACAACCAAAAAUGUGGCUGAAACAAUGACUGGAGAGGUGGCAGGAGAAAAAAAAAAAAAGCUGCAAAAAAUAAAUGCAGUUCCAUUCAUCUCCAGUAUUGCGAUCAGUAGAACUUUCAAAAGGGAAGAGUGGAGAAUGACAUUCAGGCUAAUUCCACAAUUAUUGGAGAAGUACUACUUUAUGGGAAACACUUCAUUAGGCACUGGGGGAGAUGCAAAGACAAGUGGAAAAGUUUGCACUUAUCUAAAACUUUAAUAUUUCCAAAGCACUUUCCACACAUUAGUUCAUUUAAUCCUCACAUUAACUCACUGGGGUGAAAGUUAUUAUUAGCCCUAAUUAUAAGCCCUAUUAUUAGCCCUAACAGAUAAGGAAACUAAGAUUCACUAGCUAAAUAAUUCAUUCACCAGUCGCACAGCUAAUUAAGCAUCCACAGCACCACCCGAACCCACAUCUUGUUGACUUGAAGCCAAGACGUCCAUUUAUUUUUCUCAUGGAGCUUUGAAUCUCAGAGAAGAUGAGAAGGAAGGAAAUGCCCUGCCAGAGCUUUUAAAAAAUCAGAUUUGUGUCUGAUAAUGGAUGUGUCGGAGAAGACAAUGGAGUCUCUAACUGGAAAAAUACUUUGGAGCUAGUCUAAUUUGCUUAUUUUAGAGAAACCCACAGAUUUC
rnacentral:lncRNA from 1 species